UACAGAGGGUGCAAGCGUUAAUCGGAAUUACUGGGCGUAAAGCGUGCGUAGACGGUUAUGUAAGUCGGGUGUGAAAGCCCCGGGCUCAACCUGGGAAUGCCAUUCGAGACUGCAUAGCUAGGGUGCGGAAGAGGGAAGCGGAAUUUCCGGUGUAGCGGUGAAAUGCGUAGAUAUCGGAAGGAACACCAGUGGCGAAAGCGGCUUCCUGGUCCAGCACCGACGUC
rnacentral:rRNA from 1 species